GAAAUGCGAUACUUGGUGUGAAUUGCAGAAUCCCGUGAACCAUCGAGUCUUUGAACGCAAGUUGCACCCGAGGCCACUCGGCCGAGGGCACGCCUGCCGGGGUGUCACGCACGUGCUGCCUCACCCGGCGCUCACCCCAUCCGGUGGAGGCGCCGCGGGGCGGAGACUGGCCACCCGCGGGCAUGAGGCGCGGCUGGCUGAAAAGCAUUCACUCCCCCGCCGGGGCGUGGAAGCGGCGGUAGGUGGUUUGAGAGGUGGCUGCCUCGUUGGAGCCCGGACGCCACGCCCGUCGCCCCGCGCCCGGGGGCAAGCAAAGCGAAGUGGCACCCAACUCGGCCGCCCCGCGCGGCCCUUGCGUAGCGACCUCAAGUCAGGCGGGGACACCCGCUGAGUUUAAGC
rnacentral:misc_RNA from 1 species